rnacentral:lncRNA from 1 species
GGAACCUUCACCAAAUAACAUUUGCAACCAUUGAUCCCUGGUUAUUGACACAAAUUCAUUAUAAUCAUUAUAUGUUUUGCUUUGUCUUCUAUAUGAUCUAGGUUUAUGCUAAAUAUAAGAAUGAAAUCCUCGUAGGUAUUCGAUAUUACAUUGAAUACUAUUUGUAAUCGAAGGUACACAGAAACCCUAAGACUCAUUUAAACAGAAGGGCCAGGGUGGCAACAUACCCAAGCAAAUAAUCAAAAACAGAGUAACAAUAAAAUUUACGCUACCUGUUUUUAGACCUCAUAUCCAACAUCAAAUGGAAGUCGAGUGCUAAUUUGUUGUUUCUUACCUGUGUUUUAGACCUCAUAUCCUAUGUUGUCAAAACUCAUAUCCAACAUCAAAUGAAAGUCGAGAGCUGAUUUGUUGUUUCUUCCACAAAAAGAAUACCAGCAU